rnacentral:rRNA from 1 species
CCUACGGGGGGCAGCAGUCGAGAAUUAUUCACAAUGGGGGAAACCCUGAUGGUGCGACGCCGCGUGGGGGAAUGAAGGUCUUCGGAUUGUAAACCCCUGUCAUGUGGGAGCAAAUUAAAAAGAUAGUACCACAAGAGGAAGAGACGGCUAACUCUGUGCCAGCAGCCGCGGUAAUACAGAGGUCUCAAGCGUUGUUCGGAAUCACUGGGCGUAAGGCGUGCGUAGGCUGUUUCGUAAGUCGUGUGUGAAAGGCGCGGGCUCAACCCGCGGACGGCACAUGAUACUGCGAGACUAGAGUAAUGGAGGGGGAACCGGAAUUCUCGGUGUAGCAGUGAAAUGCGUAGAUAUCGAGAGGAACACUCGUGGCGAAGGCGGGUUCCUGGACAUUAACUGACGCUGAGGCACGAAGGCCAGGGGAGCGAAAGGGAUUAGAUACCCGGGUAGUC